rnacentral:rRNA from 1 species
GUGGGGAAUAUUGGACAAUGGGGGAAACCCUGAUCUAGCCAUGCCGCGUGAUCGAUGAAGGCCUUAGGGUUGUAAAGAUCUUUCAGGUGGGAAGAUAAUGACUGUACCACCAGAAGAAGCCCCGGCUAACUCCGUGCCAGCAGCCGCGGUAAUACGGAGGGGGCUAGCGUUGUUCGGAAUUACUGGGCGUAAAGCGCACGUAGGCGGAUUGGAAAGUUGGGGGUGAAAUCCCGGGGCUCAACCCCGGAACUGCCUUCAAAACUCCCAGUCUUGAGUUCGAGAGAGGUGAGUGGAAUUCCGAGUGUAGAGGUGAAAUUCGUAGAUAUUCGGAGGAACACCAGUGGCGAAGGCGGCUCACUGGCUCGAUACUGACGCUGAGGUGCGAAAGCGUGGGGAGCAAACAGGAUUAGAUACCCGUGUAGUCC